rnacentral:tRNA from 1 species
GGCCUCGUAGCUCAGUUGGCUAGAGCGUUGGCCAUUGCUAACGUGGGUCCGAAUCCCUCCGAAGCUG